AGAGGUUUGGUGAUCAUAUCUUCUCACAUUAACUGCUAUGCGGGUGUGUUGUCACAUAGGGAGCCAUGAGGUUGGCCUUGCCUGGAGUUAAGCUCUCCCUUGAAGCCUAUGCUUGGUGGAGAGUGUGAUGGGACUUCCUUCAGUCAGGCAGCUGGGAUAAUUCAAGCCAGGUGUACAAUGAGAAGCACCUGCUCCUGAGAAACAGAGAAGCUGGGGGAUGGUCACCUGCCACAAAACCAGCCUGGCCCAGCUCAGCACAGCCAGAGCACCUACUGAUAGGAAAAUGAACAGAAUGGGGAAUGCCUAGACCAACUGAGCCUGUCUAGGAAGUGCAGGUUGCCUGUGGAGCCUACAAGGACAGUAACAUCAGGACAGUGACAUCACAGGCAAGCCCUCCACUCAGAGCAGAGAGAGAGGCAAACCCUCUGCUCUCUCACCCCAAACACCAGAGCCCAGAGCUGGGAGAUGGCCAGUCUUGCUCUGCCUGAAUCUUUCAGGGGCCCCCGGCUCCUCUGCUGCAUGGCCCUCUGCCUUCUGGGGGCAGGUUCUGUGGCUGCUGGAGUCACCCAGUCUCCAAGACAUAUAAUCAAAGUCCAAGAGCGGAAGGCUGUUCUGAAGUGCCACUCCAUCUCCGGACACAGCUAUGUGUACUGGUACCAGCAGGCUCUGGGACACGGCCCCCAGUUCCUCAUUAGUUUUUAUGAAAAGGAGGAGGGACAGAAAGGAAAUAUUCCUGAUCGGUUCUCAGGAAAACAGUUCGAUAACUACAGCUCUGAGCUGACCCUGAGCGCCUUGCAGCUGGGAGACUCAGCUGUGUAUCUCUGUGCCAGCAGCUUAGACACAGCCCUGCAGCGUCAAUGGCUUUCUGUACUCAAACCUCCCUGCCCUAGCUGA